GCGAACGGGUGAGUAAUAUAUCGGAACGUACCCUAGGGUGGGGGAUAACGUAGCGAAAGUCACGCUAAUACCUGCAUACGCUCUACUGGAGGAAAGCAGGGGACCGCAAGGCCUUGCGCUCAAUGGAGCGGCCGAUAUCGGAUUAGCUUGUUGGUGGGGUAAAAGCCUACCAAGGCGACGAUCCGUAGCUGGUCUGAGAGGACGACCAGCCACACUGGGACUGAGACACGGCCCAGACUCAUAACGGGAGGCAGCAGUGGGGAAUUUUGGACAAUGGGGGCAACCCUGAUCCAGCCAUGCCGCGUGUGUGAAGAAGGCCUUCGGGUUGUAAAGCACUUUUGUUCGGAACGAAACGGUUGAUGCGAAUAACAUCAGCUAAUGACGGUACCGGAAGAAUAAGCACCGGCUAACUACGUGCCAGCAGCCGCGGUAAUACGUAGGGUGCAAGCGUUAAUCGGAAUUACUGGGCGUAAAGCGUGCGCAGGCGGUUUCGCAAGUCAGAUGUGAAAUCCCUGGGCUCCACCUGGGAACUGCAUUUGAAACUGCAUGGCUAGAGUAUCGAAGAGGGGAAGUGGAAAUUUCCGGGUGUAGCGGUGAAAAUU
rnacentral:rRNA from 1 species